CCUACGGGCGGCAGCAGUGAGGAAUAUUGGUCAAUGGGCGGGAGCCUGAACCAGCCAAGCCGCGUGAGGGAAGAAGGUACAGCGUAUCGUAAACCUCUUUUGUCAGGGAACAAAGGCGGGGACUAGUCCCCGGAUGAGGGUACCUGAAGAAAAAGCAUCGGCUAACUCCGUGCCAGCAGCCGCGGUAAUACGGAGGAUGCGAGCGUUAUCCGGAUUUAUUGGGUUAAAAGGGUGCGCAGGCGGCCUGUUAAGUCAGCGGGAAAAGCCCGGGGCUCAACACCGGCGAGCCGUGGAAACUGGGGGGCUGGAGUUGGAGAGAGGUACGCGGAAGUCGCGGUGUAGCGGUGAAAUGCUUAGAUAUCGCGCAGAACCCCGAUUGCGAAGGCAGCGUACCGGAGCCACACUGACGCUGAGGCACGAAAGCGUGGGUAUCGAACAGGAUUAGAUACCCGUGUAGUC
rnacentral:rRNA from 1 species